UACGUAGGGUGCGAGCGUUUAAUCGGAAUUACUGGGCGUAAAGCGUGCGCAGGCGGCGCGUUUAAGACAGGUGUGAAAGCCCCGAGCUUAACUUGGGAAUUGCGCUUGUGACUGGCGUGCUGGAGUGUGGCAGAGGGAGGUGGAAUUCCACGUGUAGCAGUGAAAUGCGUAGAGAUGUGGAGGAACACCGAUGGCGAAGGCAGCCUCCUGGGCCAGCACUGACGCUCAUGCACGAAAGCGUGGGGAGCAAACAGG
rnacentral:rRNA from 1 species